rnacentral:rRNA from 1 species
AUUUGGGUUUGGGGGGUUUUUUUUUUUUUUUUGGUUUUUUUCGUUCCGUGACGCUAGCGGGAUGCUUUACACAUGCAAGUCGAACGGCAGCGCGAGAGAGCUUGCUCUCUUGGCGGCGAGUGGCGGACGGGUGAGUAAUAUAUCGGAACGUGCCCAGUAGCGGGGGAUAACUACUCGAAAGAGUGGCUAAUACCGCAUACGCCCUACGGGGGAAAGGGGGGGAUCGCAAGACCUCUCACUAUUGGAGCGGCCGAUAUCGGAUUAGCUAGUUGGUGGGGUAAAGGCUCACCAAGGCAACGAUCCGUAGCUGGUUUGAGAGGACGACCAGCCACACUGGGACUGAGACACGGCCCAGACUCCUACGGGAGGCAGCAGUGGGGAAUUUUGGACAAUGGGGGAAACCCUGAUCCAGCCAUCCCGCGUGUAUGAUGAAGGCCUUCGGGUUGUAAAGUACUUUUGGCAGAGAAGAAAAGGUAUCCCCUAAUACGGGAUACUGCUGACGGUAUCUGCAGAAUAAGCACCGGCUAACUACGUGCCAGCAGCCGCGGUAAUACGUAGGGUGCAAGCGUUAAUCGGAAUUACUGGGCGUAAAGCGUGUGUAGGCGGUUCGGAAAGAAAGAUGUGAAAUCCCAGGGCUCAACCUUGGAACUGCAUUUUUAACUGCCGAGCUAGAGUAUGUCAGAGGGGGGUAGAAUUCCACGUGUAGCAGUGAAAUGCGUAGAUAUGUGGAGGAAUACCGAUGGCGAAGGCAGCCCCCUGGGAUAAUACUGACGCUCAGACACGAAAAGAGCGC